rnacentral:rRNA from 1 species
CCAAUAGCGUAUAUUAAAGUUGUUGCAGUUAAAAAGCUCGUAGUUGAAUUUCGGGACCAAUAUGUCGGUCGUACUUUGUACGUACUAGCAUAAUUGGUUUCUCCCUUCUGAAGAACCACGAUGUCAUUAAUUUGGUGUCGUGGGGAAUCAGGACUGUUACUUUGAAAAAAUUAGAGUGUUUAAAGCAGGCUCGCGCUUGAAUACAUUAGCAUGGAAUAAU